UAUGAGUCAUUUCCCUGCAUAAAUUGUUGCAAUAGAAUUCCUCAUUUUAUAGACGGUGACGUCCCUGUGUGACCACAAUUACAAGAUAACUGGUAAUUUACGUAGUUGCGUUUUGAAUAAAUCCAUUGUUAAACAUCUGGUAAUCUUACUGUUUGGAUUUUCACAAACUGGUGGGUUUUUUGGUGUUUUAAUUUGUAAAUGAUCUGCAAACUACUUAUUUUUACUGUUGCCCUGACAACAUUAGCCAUGGCUGCCCCUGUGCCCGAAGAAAAUCUAAUGGUUGAAGUAGGAGAUUUAAGUGAGAAGUGGACUCAAUGGAAGACAAAGCAUAACAAAACCUACGACACACCUGAAGAGGAAGCUAAAAGGUUGGCAAUUUUCAAAGAUAACAUACAAAAAAUAGUCGACCAUA